UGGAAGAAACUACUUACUCCCUA
rnacentral:piRNA from 1 species